ensembl:lncRNA
GUAGUAACCAAAAAAGUGUUAAACAAAUCAAAAUAUAUUUCAUAUUUGAGAUUCUUCAAAGUAGCCACCCUUUGCCUUAAUGACAGCUUUGCACACUCUAGGCAUUCUCUCCACCAGCUUCAUGAGGUAGUUUAAUCCAUUUCAGAAUAAGGCUGUAACGUAAAAUGUGGAAAAGGGGAAGGGGUCUGAAUACUUUCCGAUUGCACUAUACACUAAAUACAAAACAUUAAGAACACCCGCUCUUUCCACCAGGUGAAUCCAGGUGAAAGCUAUGAUCCCUUAUUGAUGUCACUUGUUGAAUCAACUUCAAUCAGUGUAGAUGAAGGGGAGGAGACCAGGUUAAAGAUGAAGGGGAGGAGACCAGGUUAAAGAUGAAGGGGAGGAGACCAGGUUAAAGAUGAAGGGGAGGAGACCAGGUUAAAGAUGAAGGGGAGGAGACCAGGUUAAAGAUGAAGGGGAGGAGACCAGGUUAAAGAUGAAGGGGAGGAGACCAGGUUAAAGAUGAAGGGGAGGAGACGGGUUAAAGAUGAAGGGGAGGAGACCAGGUUAAAGAUGAAGGGGAGGAGACGGGUUAAAGAUGAAGGGGAGGAGACCAGGUUAAAGAUGAAGGGGAGGAGACCAGGUUAAAGAUGAAGGGGAGGAGACGGGUUAAAGAAGGGUUUUUAAGCCCUGAGACAAUGGAGACAUGGAUUGUGUAUGUGUGCCAUCCAGAGGGUGAACGGACAAGACAAAGGAUUUAAGUGCCUUUGAACGGGGUAUGGUAGUAGGUUCCAGGCGCACCGGUUUGUGUGUGUCAAGAACUACAAUGCUGCUGGGUUUUUCACGCUCAACAGUUUCCCGUGUUUAUCAAGAAUGGUCCACCACCCAAUGGACAUCCAGCCAACAUGACACAACUGUGGGAAGCCUUGGAGUCAACAUGAACCAGCAUCCCCGUGGAAUGCUUUAAAUACCUUGUAGAGUCAACAUGGGCCAACAUCCCUGUGGAGCGCUUUCAACACCUUAUAGAGUCAACAUGAACCAGCAUCCCUGUGGAACGCUUUAGAUACCGUGUAGAGUCAACAUGGGCCAGCAUCCCUGUGGAAUGCUUUAGACACCUUGUAGAGUCAACAUGGGCCAGCAUCCCUGUGGAAUGCUUUCAACACCUUGAGUGGCAAAGGAGGGGGGGGGAGACUCAAUAUUAGGAAGGUGUUCCUAAUGUUUUGUAUAGUCAAUGUAUUUAAACCCAGGAUUUCUGAUGCUAUGUAUUGGCCAUAGAGAUGCCACCGGUUGGCCAUAUUGACACUCCCCAAUAGGAGCAAUCCUCCACAGACGUGUUGGCUGACAACGUUGCCAGAAGCCGAGCUAUAUGACGCUGAACGACCAGAUAGCUAGCAACAAUGACUAGAGCUGUCAGCUAGCAACAAUGACUAGAGCUGUCAGCUAGCAACAAUGACUAGAGCUGUCAGCUAGCAACAAUGACUAGAGCUGUCAGCUAGCAACAAUGACUAGAGCUGUCAUGUGGGGAAUCAUAGGUGGCUCUUUUUAGAUAAAAACAUAUUCUUGAUAACAUGAUAAUUUAGAUAAUUUAAAACUAAAUCUUGUUCUUGAUAACACGUCUUGUUGUUGACAGUAUUAACGAUGUAUUUGAGAGACAUUGAGAGUCAUUGUGCAAAUGUAUUUAUGUUUUCAAUAAACAUUUCGGAGACUAAAUAUCGUUUAGGCCUACAUGUUGUCAAUCUAAUCCAAACCGUCUGUUGUGCGUGACUCGGUUUUUGUUGCUAAACAACCAACUCAGCUAUAAGAAAUGUUAGGAAUUCUACAGUAUUUCAAUUAAAUGUUUCAAGGACAAAGUUACAGUUAUUUUUUGUGUGUGUGUUGGGGACAGUAACAUUAGUAAUCUCAAAAAAAUAAAUAAUAAUAUUUAAAACAGGGGUUCUUCAACUUUUUCAGCCUGGGACACAAAUUAUAAAGGCUGUGUUUUCCUGGGACCCAAGUUUAGGAAAAUAUGAAACUAUAUGUAAAUAUCGGUACAUUUCAUUGCCCUUAUGGCUAAACAAAUGCAAUAUAGACAAAAACAAAUAACAAUGAAAUAAAAUAUUCAUAUAAAUAUAUAUUAAUGUUUACAUUCCCCCAUUAGAAACACUCUUCCAUAUCUGUCUAGGAUGGAACGGUUGCUGUUAAAAUGCAAUCAUUUUCAUUCUGAACUGGAAUAAACAGAUUGAUCACGUCACACAGAUAAACAGAACGCACACACACGCUUUUUGAUAGUGUAACCCUAAGUAAUAGUACACCCUACUGUAGAAACGACCAGGCCUACUGUACACCCUACUGUAGAAACGACCAGGCCUACUGUACACCCUACUGUAGAAACGACCAGGCCUACUGUACACCCUACUGUAGAAACGACCAGGC